CACGGGUAACCAGGAGCCCACGGAACUUGUUCCGUCCUGGUUAGUUGGUGCGGCCCUUCGGGGAGUAUCGUGGUGGUUGUGGUUUAACACCCAAAUGCGGGUAGAGCAUCGCUCGACGUGGAGUUGCGUCAUACAACCGGGUUCCGUGACCCAGAUUACGGAAGAGGCUUAGAUAGUCCUCGUGCCAAACCAAGGUAGAAGUCACAACCAAACAGUCGUGUCUUUAAUUGGUACCUGCGGAAUUGUUCCAAGGGGGCGGUGAUUGACGCUUGAAUUAAUCCUAUACUAGGAACCGUGAGAUUAAGCCAUCGCGGCAGGUGCUCACGUUAAGCCCACUGACUUUCAUGUCCCUAUCUACUAUCUAGCGAAACCACAGCCAAGGGAACGGGCUUGGAAUAAUUAGCGGGGAAAGAAGACCCUUUUGAGCUUGACUCUAAUCUGGCAGUGUAAGGAGACAUAAGAGGUGUAGAAUAAGUGGGAGAUAUUAGACUUCGGUUUGGUAUCGACAAUGAAAUACCACUACUCUUAUUGUUUCCUUACUUACUUGAUUAAAUGGAACGUGUAUCAUUUCCUAGCCAUUAUACGGAUAUAAUUAUUAUGUCUUAUGGUAUUGGGUUUUGAUGCAAGCUUCUUGAUCAAAGUAUCACGAGUUUGUUAUAUAAUCGCAAACAAAUUCUUUAAUGAGAGAAUGCAUUUAUGUAUUAUUGAUUUAAAAAUUUGGUAUAACUCCAAUUACUCAGGUAUGAUCCAAUUCAAGGACAUUGCCAGGUAGGGAGUUUGACUGGGGCGGUACAUCUCUCAAAUAAUAACGGAGGUGUCCCAAGGCCAGCUCAGUGCGGACAGAAACC
rnacentral:ncRNA from 1 species